AAUGGAGAGCCCGGUGCAAGCGGGGUACCAGCCACUUUGGCAAAUCCGGGUGGCAAUGGGAAGCCGUGAUGCGGAGCGAAAUAAAGUAGCGAAGUCCGUGAGCCAUGCGUCAAGAAAAGCCGCUAUUGUUUAUACCGUACCCGUACCGUAAACCGACACAGGUGGAUGAGGAGAGAAUCCUAAGGCCGGCGGAAGAAGCAUUGUCAAGGAACUCGGCAAAAUGGCCCCGUAACUUAGGGAUAAGGGGUGCCUGGGAAACCAGGCCGCAGAGAAUAGGCUCAAGCAACUGUUUAGCAUAAACACAGGUCUAUGCGAAACCGAAAGGUGAGGUAUAUGGGCUGACGCCUGCCCGGUGCUGGAAGGUUAAGAGGAGAGGUUAGCGGUAACGCGAAGCUUUGAAUUUAAGCCCCAGUAAACGGCGGCCGUAACUAUAACGGUCCUAAGGUAGCGAAAUUCCUUGUCGGGUAAGUUCCGACCCGCACGAAAGGCGUAAUGAUUUGAGCGCUGUCUCGACAAUGCAUCCGGUGAAAUUGAAGUACCAGUGAAGAUGCUGGUUACCUGCGCCAGGACGGAAAGACCCCAUGGAGCUUUACUCCAGUUUGGUACUGGGACUCGGUAUUGCAUGUACAGGAUAGGUGGGAGGCUAGGAGACAGUAACGCCAGUUAUUGUGGAGCCGCUGUUGGGAUACCACCCUUGCAGUAUUGGGUUUCUAACCAGCCGCCGUGACCCGGCGGUGGGACAAUGCCAGACGGGGAGUUUGACUGGGGCGGUCGCCUCCGAAAGGGUAUCGGAGGCGCCCAAAGGUUCCCUCAGAAUGGACGGAAACCAUUCGAAGAGUGCAAAGGCAGAAGGGAGCUUGACUGCGACACCGACGGGUGGAGCAGGUACGAAAGUAGGGCUUAGUGAUCCGGUGGUAUUAAGUGGGAAUGCCAUCGCUCAACGGAUAAAAGCUACCCUGGAUAACAGGCUUAUCACUCCCAAGAGUUCACAUCGACGGAGUGGUUUGGCACCUCGAUGUCGGCUCAUCGCAUCCUGGGGCUGUAGUAGGUCCCAAGGGUUGGGCUGUUCGCCCAUUAAAGCGGUACGCGAGCUGGGUUCAGAACGUCGUGAGACAGUUCGGUCCCUAUCCGGCGUGGGCGUAGGAUAUCUGAGAGGAGCUGUCCUUAGUACGAGAGGACCGGGAUGGACGGGCCGCUGGUGCAUCGGUUAGACUGCCAAGUCUACGGCCGAGUAGCCAAGCCCGGAAGGGAUAAACGCUGAAGGCAUCUAAGCGUGAAGCCCCCCUUAAGAUGAGAUAUCCCAUUCGAAAGAAGUAGACCCCCUUGAAGACGACGAGGUAGAUAGGGCAGAGGUGGAAGUGUGGCAACACAUGGAGCUGACUGUUACUAAUCGGGUGAGGGCUUGACC
rnacentral:rRNA from 1 species